GAUGAACGCUGGCGGCGUGCCUAAUACAUGCAAGUCGAGCGAACGGACGAGAAGCUUGCUUCUCUGAUGUUAGCGGCGGACGGGUGAGUAACACGUGGAUAACCUACCUAUAAGACUGGGAUAACUUCGGGAAACCGGAGCUAAUACCGGAUAAUAUUUUGAACCGCAUGGUUCAAAAGUGAAAGACGGUCUUGCUGUCACUUAUAGAUGGAUCCGCGCUUCAUUAGCUAGUUGGUAAGGUAACGGCUUACCAAGGCAACGAUGCAUAGCCGACCUGAGAGGGUGAUAGGCCACACUGGAAGUGAGACACCGUCCAGACUCCUACGGGAGGCAGCAGUAGGGAAUCUUCCGCAAUGGGCGGAAGCCUGACGGAGCAACGCCGCGUGAGUGAUGAAGGUCUUCGGAUCGGAAAACUCUGUUAUUAGGGAAGAACAUAUGUGUAAGUAACUGUGCACAUCUUGACGGUACCCAAUCAGAAAGCCACGGCUAACUACGUG
rnacentral:rRNA from 1 species